AUCCAGUGGCUGCUGUGUCUCAAGGCACCCAUUUUCCUCUUGCCUAUAGGGGAGCUCUCAGGCAGCUCACAGGUGAGCCAGGAAAGAGAAUGGCAUCUGCUGCUUUCAGCAAGAAAGAGGUGAGUUUGGGUGAAUGACUUUGGACUGUGAGAAUUUGGCUUGUGUUCCUCAGAGCUCCCAUGGCCCUGGGAGCCAAGAAGAAAUGACAGCUUCUGUCUAAUGGGGUCAGAUAGUAAAUGGAGCCAUUUCCACACUGUGCUGGCUGGGAUAUAAUUACACACUGGGCCAUGGCGUGUCUGGUCCUAAUAGCACCCGGGACUCUUGGUGUGACUCAGCUGCUGCUUGGGGCUAAUUAUGGGCAGGUUGCACAAAAAACCCCCACAAAUUGAUCCUGCCUUCCUCUCCUCCAGUGGAUGGGUGUUCAGCAACAACCUGUAUUGCGCAUACAAAGCUCGUACAAAAAUGGUGAGAAGCCUAGAGAAGCCUACGAGGCUGGUGCUGCAGCGACAGGCAGGGGGACAAGCUGAGCUCUUCAGUGAAGGAGGUGCUGCCCAACUGCCAGCAGGAAGCCAGCUGCAUUUCCUGGGCAGGUCCCAGCGUGAAUCGAAGCUGAAUUUGAGCAAUAACCCUUCUGAUGUCUCCGGGGGAGGAGAUGUGACGUCUUGAGGUAAACCACACAUCCCGUAACUACCACUGUGCCAUUCGUGAGCGCUGCCUCGCUACACAAGUGGCAGAAUUGCUUUUCAGCAAAAGUCACCACGGUUUUGGAGGGGAAGAGUUCCAGUCAGAGAAAGACCGGGUGGCGGGGAGAAAGAAAACCCGACCGCAAUAAAGCAGCAUUGAACCUGAAAGGAAAAAGACGU
rnacentral:lncRNA from 1 species